rnacentral:rRNA from 1 species
UACGUAGGGGGCAAGCGUUGUCCGGAAUCAUUGGGCGUAAAGAGCGUGUAGGCGGCUCGAUAAGUCCGCUCUGAAAGCCCGGGGCUCAACCCCGGGAGGCGGGCGGAUACUGUCGAGCUAGAGUCCGGAAGAGGCGAGUGGAAUUCCUGGUGUAGCGGUGAAAUGCGCAGAUAUCAGGAGGAACACCAAUGGCGAAGGCAGCUCGCUGGGACGGUACUGACACUGAGACGCGAAAGCGUGGGGAGCGAACAGG